rnacentral:lncRNA from 1 species
AUGAAAGGCAGGACGGGAGUUAAAGAGAGCAAAAGCCAUUGGUGUUGCAGUGCUCUUUACUGUUAUGUCGAAGAGAUUGCCAACUUCAGUACACAGUCAGAGGUGCAGAUACAUCUUGACUACAGUUUGUAUGUCCCAUUUUCAAUGAUCCUGAAGUCCCAAUCACUGCUUUUUGAAGACGUACAGAUUCAGCAAGCCCCUGUUGGAAGGCACUGGCAAGUUCCAGGAGUGAAUUGUCAAGCAACAAGCCCAAAAAAAGUCUUCAGGGAAUCUGAAUCACAACUGAAGGCAGCACUGCUCCCUUGCAGCCUGUUCCCCACCAUCUUCCCAGUACUUCUCUGUGUCUGGAAAUCAGAUAUCAGCUUCGAAAUCUUCUACAUCCUCCAGACAUGUCUACCUGUCAGAGCAUUUUUCUUAAGCUGAUCACCAAACAUGUUAUGUGACAAGAAUGACAAGAUUUCAUUCUUGUACACAUAAAAAAAUUAUACCUUUUUUAGUGUGAGAAACCUUGAAAGAACAAUCUGUCUUCAAGACACGGGCAUAACCACAGGAUGUUCAGAUUUACGAGCAUGGAUAGCAGCAAUUUCUAAGUAUGUGGGUACAUCUAGCAAGUUGACAGCAAUCACUCCAUCCCUUGGUCUGGGGUUUGUCUGGUGGUGUGUCCUGUAAGCAAUGCACUGAGGAAAGGAUCCAUUGGUGACAUCACAAAUCAGUUCUGCUGCUGCAGCCUCAUGAAGUCGCUGCACAGUGAGGCAGAAAACAGGCUGGCCCUGCUCCACCUAGCGACGCAAAAGAGAAGUGCUGUGGGAGUGAGGAAAGGACAUUUCUCGCAAGGAGACUGAGAAAUGGAAGAGUUCAAGAAGUGCUGCCUCGCUGCUUACUAGUUAAACAUCAGGAUUUAUUGCCAAGUGUGGGAGUGUGGUUUGUAACUAGCCCUAAGAGACACACUGAAGGUUGUAAGAAGAUGACAAUUAUUUGGAUGAGUCUCAGUUAACCUAUUGCUGUGCAAAGUGAAGGCUGGUGAGACUACAACCUGGGAAAACAUACAAGGCACAGGCUAAUCUCUCCAACGCAUUAGAAAGCAAAGAAUAACCAUGACCUCUGUGAAGUCAAUGGGAGUUUUUCCAGUGACUCCAGUGAAGCCAGUAUUUCACCCUGAGUUUUCCGUAAUGAAGGCCAAAUUGUCCCCUUGAUUUAUGAACCAUAGGAUUUUUCCAGCUUCAGUGCACAUUGUAUCUUAUUUUCUUCCAAGAAAACAUUAAAAAGCUGAAGUAUGCCUCUAUGAAACAAAGGCAGAUAUACAAAUGUAUUUCAAUAAAAUAAAGUUUAUAAUAGUGAGGCA